CCUACGGGAGGCAGCAGUGAGGAAUAUUGGUCAAUGGACGAGAGUCUGAACCAGCAAAGUCGCGUGAAGGAUGACUGCCCUCUGGGUUGUAAACUUCUUUUAUAUGGGAAUAAAACAGGGUAUGCAUACCCUCUUGUAUGUACCAUAUGUAUAAGGAUCGGCUAACUCCGUGCCAGCAGCCGCGGUAAUACGGAGGAUCCGAGCGUUAUCCGGAUUUAUUGGGUUUAAAGGGAGCGUAGGUGGAUUGUUAAGUCAGUUGUGAAAGUUUGCGGCUCAACCGUAAAAUUGCAGUUGAAACUGGGAGUCUUGAGUACAGUAGAGGUGGGCGGAAUUCGUGGUGUAGCGGUGAAAUGCUUAGAUAUCACGAAGAACUCCGAUUGCGAAGGCAGCUCACUGGACUGCAACUGACACUGAGGCUCGAAAGUGUGGGUAGCAAACAGGAUUAGAUACCCCGGUAGUC
rnacentral:rRNA from 1 species